ACCAGGAUGGCCGAGUGGUUAAGGCGUUGGACUCAAGAUCCAAUCAGCGUGUGCUCACGUGGGUUCAAAUCCUACUCCUGGUA
rnacentral:tRNA from 2 species